UACGGAGGGGGCUAGCGUUGUUCGGAAUUACUGGGCGUAAAGCGCACGUAGGCGGCUUUGUAAGUAAGAGGUGAAAGCCUGGAGCUCAACUCCAGAAUUGCCUUUUAGACUGCAUCGCUUGAAUCAUGGAGAGGUGAGUGGAAUUCCGAGUGUAGAGGUGAAAUUCGUAGAUAUUCGGAAGAACACCAGUGGCGAAGGCGGCUCACUGGACAUGUAUUGACGCUGAGGUGCGAAAAGCGUGGGGGAGCAAACAGG
rnacentral:rRNA from 1 species